rnacentral:rRNA from 1 species
GGCGGCAGCUACACAUGCAGUCGAGCGGUAGCACAGAGAGCUUGCUCUCGGGUGACGAGCGGCGGACGGGUGAGUAAUGUCUGGGAAACUGCCUGAUGGAGGGGGAUAACUACUGGAAACGGUAGCUAAUACCGCAUAACGUCGCAAGACCAAAGUGGGGGACCUUCGGGCCUCAUGCCAUCAGAUGUGCCCAGAUGGGAUUAGCUAGUAGGUGGGGUAAUGGCUCACCUAGGCGACGAUCCCUAGCUGGUCUGAGAGGAUGACCAGCCACACUGGAACUGAGACACGGUCCAGACUCCUACGGGAGGCAGCAGUGGGGAAUAUUGCACAAUGGGCGCAAGCCUGAUGCAGCCAUGCCGCGUGUAUGAAGAAGGCCUUCGGGUUGUAAAGUACUUUCAGCGAGGAGGAAGGCGUUAAGGUUAAUAACCUUAGCGAUUGACGUUACUCGCAGAAGAAGCACCGGCUAACUCCGUGCCAGCAGCCGCGGUAAUACGGAGGGUGCAAGCGUUAAUCGGAAUUACUGGGCGUAAAGCGCACGCAGGCGGUCUGUCAAGUCGGAUGUGAAAUCCCCGGGCUCAACCUGGGAACUGCAUUCGAAACUGGCAGGCUAGAGUCUUGUAGAGGGGGGUAGAAUUCCAGGUGUAGCGGUGAAAUGCGUAGAGAUCUGGAGGAAUACCGGUGGCGAAGGCGGCCCCCUGGACAAAGACUGACGCUCAGGUGCGAAAGCGUGGGGAGCAAACAGGAUUAGAUACCCUGGUAGUCCACGCCGUAAACGAUGUCGACUUGGAGGUUGUGCCCUUGAGGCGUGGCUUCCGGAGCUAACGCGUUAAGUCGACCGCCUGGGGAGUACGGCCGCAAGGUUAAAACUCAAAUGAAUUGACGGGGGCCCGCACAAGCGGUGGAGCAUGUGGUUUAAUUCGAUGCAACGCGAAGAACCUUACCUACUCUUGACAUCCAGAGAACUUAGCAGAGAUGCUUUGGUGCCUUCGGGAACUCUGAGACAGGUGCUGCAUGGCUGUCGUCAGCUCGUGUUGUGAAAUGUUGGGUUAAGUCCCGCAACGAGCGCAACCCUUAUCCUUUGUUGCCAGCGGUCCGGCCGGGAACUCAAAGGAGACUGCCAGUGAUAAACUGGAGGAAGGUGGGGAUGACGUCAAGUCAUCAUGGCCCUUACGAGUAGGGCUACACACGUGCUACAAUGGCAUAUACAAAGAGAAGCGACCUCGCGAGAGCAAGCGGACCUCAUAAAGUAUGUCGUAGUCCGGAUUGGAGUCUGCAACUCGACUCCAUGAAGUCGGAAUCGCUAGUAAUCGUAGAUCAGAAUGCUACGGUGAAUACGUUCCCGGGCCUUGUACACACCGCCCGUCACACCAUGGGAGUGGGUUGCAAAAGAAGUAGGUAGCUUAACCUUCGGGAGGGCGCUACCACUUGAUCUU